CCUCUGUUGCACUAUGUAUUAAAAAUCCAUGGGCUUCAUGGGUUUUGUUUUUCAGAAAGGUAGGAUGCCUUGUAUUAUGUAAAUGUUAACCCCUUCGUCAUCGAGUUUUGCGUUA